rnacentral:misc_RNA from 1 species
UACGGAGGGUGCAAGCGUUAUCCGGAUUCACUGGGUUUAAAGGGUGCGCAGGCGGGCUUGUAAGUCAGUGGUGAAAGCUCUGGGCUCAACCUGGAAACUGCCAUUGAUACUGCAAGUCUUGAGUAUAGUUGAGGUGGGCGGAAUACAUCAUGUAGCGGUGAAAUGCUUAGAUAUGAUGUAGAACACCGAUUGCGAAGGCAGCUCGCUAAACUGCAACUGACGCUCAGGCACGAAAGCGUGGGUAUCAAACAGG